AACACUUUCGACAGAGCAGAGAAAAUGUAUGGAAACGUAGCAAACAUGAUGAUUCAGGGGAGAAACAAGACAGUGUUACUACUACUAAUGAUGGCAACAAAGAACAUCGCCAUUGGGAACCUUUUGCCACCCAAAAUCUUGCAUUUGAUGAUUAUUAUAAGGAGCAAGGAAUAUUGCCAACUGAAGAAUGGGAUACUUUUAUUGGGUUUCUUAGAACUCCAUUGCCGGCUGCUUUCA
rnacentral:misc_RNA from 1 species